UACGUAGGGUGCAAGCGUUGUCCGGAAUUAUUGGGCGUAAAGGGCUCGUAGGCGGUUUGUCGCGUCGGGAGUGAAAACACUGGGCUUAACUCAGUGCUUGCUUCCGAUACGGGCAGACUAGAGGUAUGCAGGGGAGAACGGAAUUCCUGGUGUAGCGGUGAAAUGCGCAGAUAUCAGGAGGAACACCGGUGGCGAAGGCGGUUCUCUGGGCAUUACCUGACGCUGAGGAGCGAAAGUGUGGGGAGCGAACAGG
rnacentral:rRNA from 1 species